UGUAGCCUAGUGGUAGAGCAUGUGCUUAGUAUGCACAUGGCCCUGUGUUCCAUCCACAGCA
rnacentral:tRNA from 1 species